GACGAACGCUGGCGGCGUGCUUAACACAUGCAAGUCGAGCGGUAAGGCCCUUUCGGGGGGUACACGAGCGGCGAACGGGUGAGUAACACGUGGGUGACCUGCCUUUAGCUCUGGGAUAAGCCUGGGAAACUGGGUCUAAUACCGGAUACGACUCCGCGGUGCAUGCUGUGGGGUGGAAAGCCUUGUGCGGCUGGAGAUGGGCCCGCGGCCUAUCAGCUUGUUGGUGGGGUGAUGGCCUACCAAGGCGACGACGGGUAGCCGGCCUGAGAGGGCGACCGGCCACACUGGGACUGAGACACGGCCCAGACUCCUACGGGAGGCAGCAGUGGGGAAUCUUGCGCAAUGGGCGAAAGCCUGACGCAGCGACGCCGCGUGAGGG
rnacentral:rRNA from 1 species